rnacentral:rRNA from 1 species
CUACGGGGUGCUGCAGUGAGGAAUAUUGCACAAUGGGGGGAACCCUGAUGCAGCAACGCCGCGUGGAGGAUGACGCAUUUCGGUGUGUAAACUCCUUUUAUAUGUCAAGAAAAUGACGGUAGCAUAUGAAUAAGCACCGGCCAACUCCGUGCCAGCAGCCGCGGUAAUACGGAGGGUGCAAGCGUUACUCGGAAUCACUGGGCGUAAAGGACGCGUAGGCGGGUUGGAAAGUCAGGUGUGAAAUCCUACAGCCUAACUGUAGAACUGCACUUGAAACUUCUAAUCUAGAGUAUGGGAGGGGGAGAUGGAAUUAGUGGUGUAGGGGUAAAAUCCGUAGAUAUCACUAGGAAUACCUAAAGCGAAGGCGAUCUACUGGAACAUUACUGACGCUAAGGCGUGAAAGCGUGGGGAGCAAACAGGAUUAGAUACCCCUGUAGUC